rnacentral:ncRNA from 1 species
AGUAAUGGAUGAGGCGCAAAAAUCAUCAGUACCUUAUUACGUAAAGCUGCAAGUUGUAAUAAGUGAAAGGGAGAUUUGCCGAAACGAUGUUCUAUAUGCAGAUGGAACUUCGUUGGACUGUAUAUCAAUAGUAUGCAGGCUGUCAUUAUUCUUUGUAAUAAUGGUGUGCUUCCACUUGU